rnacentral:lncRNA from 1 species
CUAGCUUUAAUGUGUCACUAGGACAUUUUUGUGAUGUUGAAGGAGUUGGAGGACUAGACUUAGGUGUUGUCGAAGGUGGUGGAGUACUAGCCUUAGGUGGAGGGCUAGCCUUAGGUGUUGUAGAAGGUGGUGGAGGACUUGUUGGAGUUGGUUUGCAUGAACCACAAGCAUGUGAAAAUGUUGAAUAAGAAAGGAGAGAAAAUAAUAUAAUUAGUGCACUAAGCUUGUUGGAAGCCAUUCUUAAGAAAUGUGUACACUAAUUGUUUUUGUAUGUUUUGUAUGUUUUGAUGUUGAAUGAAAGAAUGAGAACUUGAACCAUUUUAUAGGCAAAGUUUUGAGGUUCAAUCCUUGGAGGUCUGAAGUGGAAGAGAGUUUGGUAUUGAUAACGUUUCAUUUGGACUUUUCUAAGCUAGCUUGUGUAAAAAUGGUUUCAUAUCUUAGUGGUUUUUUUUUUUUAAUAAAAUAUCUUGGUGGUUGUUUUUAUUUUUAAACAAUCUUAGUGGUGAUGUUUAUAUGUAUAUUUGAAUAUGCAAUUUCUCACUUGUUUUGUCCUCACCAUGAAAAUAAUUUUUGUCGGUGAAAUGGCUAAAUUAAGAAAAAGAAUGUCGCGUAAACAAACCAUCAUACGAAGUGUUGCACAUGAAAUGUUUAAAAUGGGAUUCACUGACGACCGUUAUUUUUAAUAGAAGGGUCAUUAUUUAAUCGUCUCAUCUCUCACUAUAAAUAGUCCUUUCACAUGUUUGCAAGUGGUAUACUAAAGAAACUCUCUUUUCAACACUCUAUCAGUGUAUGACUCACCACUUUAAGUGGAAUCCAUUUUUAAAGUGUGAGACCCACCUUUAUUUAAGUCAAUAAAAAAAAAGAGUGUUGAAAAAUGCAUGUUAACGGUACUACUCUUGAUGGUGUUAAUUUGUGUUUCGUGUUCAAGGUUAAUUUGUUUAUUUUACCAAACCAUAUUGCAAUCUAGAAUGUCACUAAAAUAUUAAUCCCAUCGAAAAUGCUAUUAAGUAUCCAUGGUCAAGUUAAGGAAACAAAUAUAUAAAAAUAGCUUGCAACUUAUGUAGUCUAAGUUAAAAGUCUUAAAAUGUUCUUUUCAAUAUGAUUUUUUUUUUGUUGCUUUUCUUCCUUAAUGCUGCAAAGUCAUUAGUUAAUUAACAUGCUAUAUUUGCAAAUAAAAAUCAAAAUAAUUGUUUCACAAUUUUGCAUCACUCCAAAUCAAUAUCUUCUACUUUGUUCUUAUGAUAAUGGUAAACACAUCAAUAUUAUUUUUUGGUAACAAUAAAGUUUGGGUGAGUUGGGUUCUGGGGGUUCAUCAGGUCAUAACAUGCCUCAAGACUCAAAGAGCGCUUACAGAGGUAUUUACAAAUCACUCAUCAUGGAGGUCAUCACCUCGACAACGAGAAUUUAACCCACGACCUUGCAGGCGGGUCAACUCCUUACCAACUGAGUCAACCUUUCAUUGACAAAUACACCAAUACUUAAUAAAUCUAAUGAUCUUGUCGGACUUGAUAUCUCUGGAUGGUGGUGUUGAAUGGCCGUUGAGUUAGGCCCUUAAUUCAUCAGCAACCUUCUUCUUGGACGAAUGAGGGUAGUAGCUAUUAAUACACUCCAACACUUAAGCUAGUGGGCGUUGUGGAUCUAUGAGGUAAUUUAAUGUAAAGUGUGUGUGUAUCUGGAUCAAUGCUCCUGAGCUAGUAUCUAUAUAGUGAGUUUAGGGUAUUGGCCCUUGAACUUUUAUUUGAACAGGUGUCCUCAAGGGAAAACUGUAAGCAAAUUGUGAGAAGAUAUCAUCAGAUCUAGACUAGAUAACCAAGAUUGCCUAGAGGGGUCAUUAAUUCAGUGUGAUCCAAGGAGGUACUCAUACGAUGAUCCUUCUAGACCUAUGAAAGAGGAUAUUCAAACCCAGUCAUCGUUUAGGCCUUGAUUCAGACUCAAACUGCUAACUUGGUAAAAUAAUUUAUUAUUCUACAUUUUUAUUUAUGAUUAUUGUCUAUAUUUGUGCGCAAUGAGAAAAGAGUGGAAAAAAAAAAGUUGAAAUAACCCCUUAUACGAAGGAUAUAGCUUGCAGUGUGAUAAAAAUGAAAGGUGAAAUAUUUACAUUAGUUUAUUUGCAAGAUUACAAAAGUUAUGACUAUGCCAUUUUUUUUAUCUUUUUAAUUAAAUUUUUUUUGAACUUUUGAUCCUCAAUUUUAAAAACAGGUUUUUAUUCUUCAAUUUCACUAUUUUCUCAGUUUUCAAUUCCCUUCUUGUUUUGGGGUCAUUUUUAUUGAUGUGACAUAUUCAUUAAUGAUGUGGCAACCUUUAUUUGCGUUUUUUCUUGCCGACAAUGAAAUAUCUAGUGUGGCCACAUAAGUGUUGCCAUGUCAUUAAUAAAUAUGUUUGUUCAACUAAAAUGACCCCAAAAAUACGAUAUGAGCGGGAAAUUCAAGAAAUAAAAGUAUAAUUGGGAUAUCAAUAUUUUUUUUUUAAAAAUGUGGGCCUAAAAAUUCAAUUUGUUUACAAAAUAUAGAGGACUAAAAGUAUAUUUAAGUAUUUUAUAUUUGAAAGGUAUGCACAAUGUAAAUUUGAGCUAACUACACAUAAAUCACUUCUAGAUAGAGAUGGCAAUAGGAUGAACCGAGUUAGACUUUACAAGAUUCAUGUCUAACCUAGUCAAAAUAUUCAAAGCCUAGGCCUAACUUGUUAUUUGUCAUGAAUUAGUUUAGGGCCAACUUGUAAUGAGAGGCAAUUACCAAUUUAAAACAAAGUUCAUUUUUAUCACUUGUGAUCAAAUAUAUAUUUGUUUCUAAUUUUCUUGAAAAUAAACGUAUCUGAAGUUUUCACUAAAAUCAUGUUUGCAUUUUUUUUAUUGAUUAACGAUAAUGGAAAGCAAUUACCAAUUUUUUUGACCUUCCUACAUUUUGAAAUCUAACACAAGUGGUACUAACCCCACAUCCAAAAAAAUAGGAAUUCUUAUCUUCCAUUUUCCUAGUCAAACAAUCUAUUGGAUUGACAAACCACUCAUAAAAAGACAAGGCACGCCUUAAUGCUUCCCCAAAAACUAUUGCCACCAAAUAUUACUAUGUGAAUUUUUUUACAACACAUAGACUUCUAUCACUCUCACCUUAAUGCUCCAAUACAACCACAUUCUUACAAAACAAAUAUUUAAACUAAGUCACAUAUAAGCUCAAAGCACUACUGACGUGCAUCUAAAAACAAAGAACCUAAGUCUAAUAUAUAGUCUAGGUCUUCCCCUUACUUCACCACACUAAGUGAUGUAGGACUCCUCCAAUAGCUAAUACUUUUUAACCUCCUUCUUUAUAUAAGAAACUUGACAAUCAAACCCAACACUUCCAACUCCACUACCGAUGAGCAUACCUCGUUCAGCUAAGUUUGCUCUUGUUGGGAGCCUUCGACACGACAUACCAGAAAAAGACUAUAACCUUUGAUCAUGCGUAUAUUCUCCCAAAAUCAUGUUUAAUUAGUAAGAGACAAAAUCAAUUUCAAUAUUUUCCAUCAUAAAGUCAAAUACAGAUAUUAACUAGUUAAAAGUUAAGGUUUCUCGAAGAAGAUGAAGAAAAUAGUAGAGAAACAAACAGAAUUAGCAAAGGAUGAGGAAAUACAUACAUAUUGACAAGUUGUUUUUAUUGACAAUUUAUGAUUGGAAUAUUUUGCAAGUUGUUUCCAAUUUCAGACCAUUGCUAGGUUUUUAACAUGAAUUGUUGAAAUCAAAGUAAGCAAUUUUGUGAGUGAGCCAUGCAAAAAGCACACAUGCGUACAAAUUUUGUGUCGGCAAGGUUCCGAUUGCAGCGACUAUAUGGCAAGGUCAGCAUCCUUUGGAGGGUGACAGAUGAAGAUCUAAGAGUCAAUAUAAUGUAAAUAUUAUUUUAUUAUUAUUAAAACUAAUUUGACCACAAUUAACUUGCAUAAGGUCGGCAGAUAAAUCAGUUUGUGGGUUGAGGAACACCCAAAGAGGUUUAGGGCUCGAACUUUGUAAACUAACAUAAAUCAUUAACUUACUAAUGUAUUAAAUUAUUAAUGUUUGUCUAUGCACACAAUACUCCCUCGGUUCCAAUUAUAAGUCAAUUUAUAAAAAUUAUUUUGUAUCAAAUUAUAAAUUAUUUUACAAUAUCAAUCAAACACCGAUGCUUCUUUUUCUUUCAUAUUGUUUCUUAGUUAUUAUCCUCUCUUCUUCAAAUUCUUUCAAUUUAUCAUUCGAAGAAUAAUUUUGUAAACUAAUUCAUAAUAUCUCUUUUUCUUUUUCGUACAUCAUUAACUACAUUUCUUAAUUUUAAUGAAAUAGCCAAACAUAACUUAAAAUUUAGGAUGGAGAUGGUAAUUAUUUAUAUUGAAUAGAUUUCUUUAACUUGUAAUAACAAGUAAGAGCAUUUAGGAAAGUCUCUUUUAUAUAUAUUUUUUUUAACUAAAUACAUCAACUCUUAAAUUACCAUUUUUGCUUAUAGUUCAAUCCGAAGGGAGCAACAAAUAUCUAUAUAUUCAGAGCGCGUCGAAACAUUAUCAAAAGAGUGAUGUUAUAUCAAGUGAAUUAAAUUUUCACGAGAAUCCACGAAGGUCGGUUGCAGUUAAAAAAGAUUCAAAGACAACAAAAUCUUGUUCACAUUUUAUUUUCGGUUUUUGUUGCCACCAGAUAGGUAGUGCAUGUGUGCAAUUAAACAACACGCUUCGGAAUAAAUUUGUGAAAUUGUUUUCGCCGUACAUAGCAAUUUCCUUAUCCAAAAUCUUUAGGGUAAAUAACCUUUUUUUUUUUUGGAGGUCGGAGUUUGAACCCCGGACCUUGCAUAUUUUAUGCAUUGUUCUAACCAACUGAGAAAAUGUUUGAGUAUAUUUUUAAAUAUUAAAUAUAUUAACAACUGUCUUUUCUAUUCGUUAUUUUGAUCAUUAAAAUAUUUUUAGGUAGUCAUCAAAUAUAUUUUUCUUUAGUCAAUAUAGUUCAUAAAAUUACGGAAAAAAAGAGGAACUACAUGUUUUACAAUUUCAAUAUAUCUAAGGACUAUAUAUUGACAACACCUUACACAUUCACAAACCACAAUUUAUUCUUUCUUUUAACAAAAACAAACGAUAUUCAUUCAUUCAUUCGAAUUGAUAGAGUAAAUCGAUGUGAUACAAAUUCAAAGUCGUUAAAAAUAAAAAUUAUGAAUAUAUGAUCAAAGUCACAACAUCCAUGUUAAUAGCAUAAAACGGCAGAUUAUAUAUGCCUAUAUUCAAAUUUCCGGAAUACUUAUGUCUCAAAAUCUGCAACGUUGAUGACAUCAAAAUCAUUGAUUGGAUCAGCACAUUUUUCAACUUGAAUCAAAUAAAAACAAUAAAAAACAAUCAACUUGAAUCAAAUAAACACCUCACUAACACGGAGAACAAAAAAUAAGGAGAAUGAAAAAUAGAGGAAACGUGUAUAAGUAACUUUAUUAUAUCAAAUAACCCCGUUCUUUCAUGAAACUCUCUUCAAAGUUUAAGGUGGAUAUUUAAUUAGCUUUUCACAAAAUUACCCCUAAUAAAAUAACGGAAUUAAAAGAUAAAUUCUCUAUCUCUCUUAAUAAUUGAAGGAUAAUAUUGAGAAGAGAAUAUAUAUUACUAACAAUUUUAUUGCGAAAACUACUUUUCUUAUCCUUUUGCUUUUAUAAAAUAAAAAUAAAAAGUAGUGAUGGAGUGUGUGUGUGUGUGUAGACAGCUGAUAUAUGUGUGUGUGUGUGGGGGUGAUUGAUUCAUUUAAGGUAUAAGAAAUGAUAAUAGUGUAAUCCAAGUUUUUUUUUUCCUGCAUGAUAAUUGUAAUUUUGUCUACAUUCAUGUUAGUCUAUAUGUCGGGGUUGUAAACAGAAUGUCCUAAUUUCUGAAUGAUCCUAGCUCUCUAUAAACUCUUCAAAGAUCUUAGCUCCUUAUUUACACGCACUCUCAGAACCAAAUAUUUUCCUAGGCGGGGUUUCUUGGAAGCUGAUAUAUAGGACAUAAUCCAACUCCAAGCUAUACUUGGAGGCCAUCACCAAGUAUAUUUAUGGGGACCAAAUUCGUGAAACCAUCACCAAGGUUUAAGAUUAUAAUUAACUACUGGCCUCGUGUUUUUUCUUAAUAGAAAACAAAUAUUAUAGAAAAAUCAAAGGUCCAGAUGGGCUAGGUCAUGUAGUAAAGGAUGUAUCAAGAAAUAUGAAAUAUCUUCAAUCCAAACAUCUUCCCCAUUUAAAAUAGCAUGCUUACCUAAAAAAUGCGCUAAUUUGUUGCUGUUUCUACUUUCUACGGCAAUGCCUAUACUGAUCUACUUUUAAUAUUUACGUUUGCACAAAACCUGUUCAGCUGCAAAGUGAAUCCCUAGCGUGAAGCCAAUGCUUCCGCGUCAAAAGGUUCUUCAUUACUUUCAUGAUUCCAAUUGUGCUGAACAUUAAAGUCACUGAGGAUGCAAGCUAUGCCCGAAAGCCAUUUGUGUUUGUCGCUAUGUUGCUGUUCAAUUUGUAAACGUUAACAUGGGAGGGUUCCAGAAGGUGUUGCGAGAUUGGAGAGGAGAAUAUGUUUCAAUUGGAUUUUGGUGAAACGCGUGAGCCUUAAUUUCUAAGUCUCUUGCUGGAAACUGCGUAUUUUGCAGGAACAGUGAAGAGUGUAAACCGCUUGUUUUUUAAUGUUCUACAUCAUAUGAAUAUGAUGUAUGUGUAGAGAUUUUUAUUUAAAUGGUUAAAUUUGGAUGGAUGCCUGUAUUGUCAAGGCAAAAGGAGUAGAAAAUUUUGACAUAUUACAUGGCUCUAUGUGGUUUGGUCGAUUUGACUUCAUAGAAAUGGAAUUAAAAAUAUUGAACAUACCAAACUAACAUCUUGAGAUGGCAUUGACUUGAAAUCUGAGAGUGUGCUCUUCUUCAACGUCUUAGGUUUGAUUAUAUCUGGUGUUAAUUUGGGUUGGGUAAUUUAGCUAAAUAGCUAUUGUUUUUUUGAUUGGUUAUGUAAUCAAUGUUGUCUUUCAAUGUCUUUGUAAAGACUUGAUAUGUACAUGGGUUAACUUUAGAGUACCCCUUGUACUUUUUGAAAUUAAUUUUUGCUUAUCUAAACAAAAUUGUUUUGUUUUGAAAACGUCCAUAAAAUCAAUACAUUUAAUUUUAUAUUUUUUCUCCCUCAAAUUAUUUUUAUAUUUUUUCAUUGGCGGGCAAAAUUCCACUACUGCAUGCAUUGCACAAAAUAUAAGUAUGAUGACGAUGACAAGUACAAUCAUCAAACGAAAGUUUGCCAAAUUUAUUUAUUAAAAUUAAAAGAACAAAGUUACUCGAUGAGGCAAACAGGCUUACCCUAUUUAUUGACAUGACACAUAUCCCACACCAAAAUAGAUAUAGUGCAUAUUUGAAUCGAUGAUGAAUUUAGCAAAAACACAGUGACACACCACCGUGAUUUUGACAAAAGUCACACACCCAAACUCAAACAAAAUUAUAGUAUUAUACUAUAAUUUCAUGCAAGUCGGUGUAAUUUCAAUCGUGCACAGAAACAAUAAGUAAAAUAAAAACAACAAUGAAAGUAGUAGUAACAUAAGUAUUGGUAUGGCUUGAACCUUUCACAUGAAACUCUAUGAACAUUGGAAACCAUUAGGAACAGAUUUUUGACAAGCACUAAGUAGGAGACUAAGUGUGACAGGCACAUUCAAGUUGAUACCAAGAACGUUAGCCUUAAUAGCGGUACAAAGACAAACUGCUGCGUCCAAAUCAGCCAAACCUUGAAUCAAUGUACAACAAUUGCUUGAAGCAGGAAUUCCAACAAUAACAUUAACAAGUCCUAGAACAUCAGCACAUACACCUAGCUUUAAUGUGUCACUAGGGCAUUUUUGUGCUGUUGAAGGAGUAGGAGGACUAGACUUAGGUGUUGUUGAUGGUGGAGUUAUAGCCGUAGGUGGAGGGCUAGCCUUAGGUGUUGUAGAAGGUGGUGGAGGACAAGCCUUUGGUGUUUUUGAAGGUGGAGGUGGACUUGGUGGAGUUGGUUUGCAUGAACCACAAGCAUUUGAAAAUGUUGAAUAAGCAAGG